rnacentral:lncRNA from 1 species
CAUUGACUCGAUCUUAAGGCGCCUACAUCCAUCCCGUCCUUUCACGGUCACUGUUCAUCAACGGUCCUUACUCACCUUUUCAUCUACGGGUGCCUCGUGUUAAGCUAGGGCCCGUAGGCCCUGCGGGUACCUCAUGUUAGGCUAAGUCCCUCAGGCACCUAGUGUAGACGCACACCCGUUCUCAGUGUUCCAAGCAGGACUACAAACAAGUUCAUUGACUCCGUUCACUUCUCAUUCUCAUUCAUGUUCACAUUCUCAUCCACAUUCACGUUCUCAUUCCCCUUAACUCAUUCACGUUCUCAUUCGUAUUAACUCAUUAACUCAUUCGUCUACACUUAGACUCGUACUCAACUCUAGACGCCACCCGUUAUCGGUGACUCAUACAAUACACUUCACAAUCUCAAACACAAGGGUGAUGCCUAAGACAUCCCAUUCACAUACAUCUAUCACCUUAACCAUUCACUUCUUUCUAGCAACCUAGCUCACAUUCGCAAUCAUCACUUGGGACAUCACAGAUCAAUCACACAAACAUCAUUCAUUAAUCAUUCAUCAC